AGUGAACGCUUUCUUUCUUCCUAACACAUGCAAGUCGAACGGCAGCACAGUAAGAGCUUGCUCUUACGGGUGGCGAGUGGCGGACGGGUGAGGAAUACAUCGGAAUCUACUUUUUCGUGGGGGAUAACGUAGGGAAACUUACGCUAAUACCGCAUACGACCUACGGGUGAAAGCAGGGGAUCUUCGGACCUUGCGCGAUUAAAUGAGCCGAUGUCGGAUUAGCUAGUUGGCGGGGUAAAGGCCCACCAAGGCGACGAUCCGUAGCUGGUCUGAGAGGAUGAUCAGCCACACUGGAACUGAGACACGGUCCAGACUCCUACGGGAGGCAGCAGUGGGGAAUAUUGGACAAAGGGCGCAAGCCUGAUCCAGCCAUACCGCGUGGGUGAAGAAGGCCUUCGGGUUGUAAAGCCCUUUUGUUGGGAAAGAAAAGCAGCAGGUUAAUACCCCGCUGUUCUGACGGUACCCAAAGAAUAAGCACCGGCUAACUUCGUG
rnacentral:rRNA from 1 species